rnacentral:rRNA from 1 species
UGGGGGACAACAGUUGGAAACGACUGCUAAGUACCGCAUAAUGUCUACGGACCAAAGGGGGGCUUCGGCUCUCGCCUUUAGAUUGGCCCAAGUGGGAUUAGCUAGUUGGUGAGGUAAUGGCUCACCAAGGCGACGAUCCCUAGCUGGUUUGAGAGGAUGAUCAGCCACACUGGGACUGAGACACGGCCCAGACUCCUACGGGAGGCAGCAGUGGGGAAUAUUGCACAAUGGGCGCAAGCCUGAUGCAGCCAUGCCGCGUGUGUGAAGAAGGCCUUCGGGUUGUAAAGCACUUUCAGUCUAGGAGGAAAGGUUAGUAGUUAAUACCUGCUAGCUGUGACGUUACUGACAGAAGAAGCACCGGCUAACUCCGUGCCAGCAGCCGCGGUAA